rnacentral:rRNA from 1 species
GAUCAUGGCUCAGGAUGAACGCUGGCGGCGUGCCUAACACAUGCAAGUCGAGCGAAGCGUUUUAAAGGAAGUUUUCGGAUGGAAUUUGAGAUGACUGAGCGGCGGACGGGUGAGUAACGCGUGGGUAACCUGCCUCAUACAGGGGGAUAACAGUUAGAAAUGACUGCUAAUACCGCAUAAGCACACAGUACCGCAUGGUACAGUGUGAAAAACUCCGGUGGUAUGAGAUGGACCCGCGU